UAACACAUGCAAGUCGAGGGGCAUCAGGAAGAUAGCUUGCUUUCUUUGCUGGCGACCGGCGCACGGGUGAGUAACACGUAUCCAACCUGCCCUUUACUCGGGGAUAGCCUUUCAAAAGAAAGAUUAAUACCCGAUAGCAUAAUGAUUCCGCAUGGUUUCAUUAUUAAAGGAUUCCGGUAAAGGAUGGGGAUGCGUUCCAUUAGGUUGUUGGUGGGGUAACGGCCCACCAAGCCUUCGAUGGAUAGGGGUUCUGAGAGGAAGGUCCCCCACAUUGGAACUGAGACACGGUCCAAACUCCUACGGGAGGCAGCAGUGAGGAAUAUUGGUCAAUGGGCGCUAGCCUGAACCAGCCAAGUAGCGUGAAGGAUGAAGGCUCUAUGGGUCGUAAACUUCUUUUAUAUAAAAAUAAAGUGCAGUAUGUAUACUGUUUUGUAUGUAUUAUAUGAAUAAGGAUCGGCUAACUCCGUGCCAGCAGCCGCGGUAAUACGGAGGAUCCGAGCGUUAUCCGGAUUUAUUGGGUUUAAAGGGAGCGUAGGUGGACUGGUAAGUCAGUUGUGAAAGUUUGCGGCUCAACCGUAAAAUUGCAGUUGAUACUGUCAGUCUUGAGUACAGUAGAGGUGGGCGGAAUUCGUGGUGUAGCGGUGAAAUGCUUAGAUAUCACGAAGAACUCCGAUUGCGAAGGCAGCUCACUGGACUGCAACUGACACUGAUGCUCGAAAGUGUGGGUAUCAAACAGGAUUAGAUACCCUGGUAGUCCACACAGUAAACGAUGAAUACUCGCUGUUUGCGAUAUACAGUAAGCGGCCAAGCGAAAGCAUUAAGUAUUCCACCUGGGGAGUACGCCGGCAACGGUGAAACUCAAAGGAAUUGACGGGGGCCCGCACAAGCGGAGGAACAUGUGGUUUAAUUCGAUGAUACGCGAGGAACCUUACCCGGGCUUAAAUUGCAGUGGAAUGAUGUGGAAACAUGUCAGUGAGCAAUCACCGCUGUGAAGGUGCUGCAUGGUUGUCGUCAGCUCGUGCCGUGAGGUGUCGGCUUAAGUGCCAUAACGAGCGCAACCCUUAUCUUUAGUUACUAACAGGUCAUGCUGAGGACUCUAGAGAGACUGCCGUCGUAAGAUGUGAGGAAGGUGGGGAUGACGUCAAAUCAGCACGGCCCUUACGUCCGGGGCUACACACGUGUUACAAUGGGGGGUACAGAAGGCAGCUAGCGGGUGACCGUAUGCUAAUCCCAAAAGCCUCUCUCAGUUCGGAUCGAAGUCUGCAACCCGACUUCGUGAAGCUGGAUUCGCUAGUAAUCGCGCAUCAGCCACGGCGCGGUGAAUACGUUCCCGGGCCUUGUACACACCGCCCGUCAAGCCAUGGGAGCCGGGGGUACCUGAAGUACGUAACCGCAAGGAUCGUCCUAGGGUAAAACUGGUGACUGGGGCUAAGUC
rnacentral:rRNA from 1 species